CCACAUUGGGGAUGAAAAAUCUUCCCAAGUAGUAAAUUAACACUACCAGCAGUCGAGAAUAUUAGUCAAUGCUCGUAAGAGUGAACUAGCUAACUGAAAUCAUAGAAUUUCUUAAAUUCAUGAUGUCGUAAGGGAAAAUAAUGAUAAUACCUUACUAUGAGUGUCGUCCAAAUCUGGUGCCAGAAGACUCGGUAAGACCAGAGACGCAAACGUUAAUCAUCAUAAACAGGCGUAAAGGGUUUGUAGGCAGCUUUUAUAAGAUAUUAUUAUUUUGAAAAAAAUAGUGUAAUCUAAAUUGAAAGCUAGAAUCAAAAAGAGGUUAUAGUGUAUAACGCCUAGAGGAGGGCUGAUAUCCAUAGAUCCUAGGCAGAAUACUCAGGGCGAAGGCCACUCUCCACUAAUGAUUGACGCUGAGAAACGAAGGUUAGGGUAGGAAAUAGGAUUAGAUACCCCGGUACUCCUUUCUGUAAACGAUGAAUGGUAGUCAUUAGUUAAAUUAAAUAACUAGAGGCGAAGUUAACACAAUAACCAUUCCGCCUUGUGAGUACUACUGCAAAGUAGAAAACAAAAAAAUUAGUCGGUCUCGAAGCAAACGGAGUGAAGCAUGUUAUUUAAUACGAUAAUCCGCGUUUCCUUUCCAGAACUUGCAUACAAACUAUAAAUUUUCUGUCCUGGAAAA
rnacentral:rRNA from 1 species